rnacentral:rRNA from 1 species
UCAAGCAACUAAGCGCAUACGGUGGAUGCCUUGGCAGUCAGAGGCGAUGAAAGACGUGGAAGCCUGCGAUAAGGUUCGGGGAGCUGGCAAACAAGCUGUGAUCCGGGCAUUUCUGAAUGGGGAAACCCACCGACUUUCGGGUCGGUAUCUUGCACUGAAUACAUAGGUGUAAGAGGCGAACCGGGGGAACUGAAACAUCUAAGUACCCCGAGGAAAAGAAAUCAACCGAGAUUCCCUAAGUAGCGGCGAGCGAACGGGGACUAGCCCUUAAGCUAGACAACUGGUAGGAGAAGGCUCUGGAAAGUGCCGCCAUAGUGGGUGAUAGCCCCGUAUCCGAAACCUGAGUCUGGUGAAAUCGAGUAGGACGGGACACGUGAUAUCCUGUCUGAA